UUUUCUUUCUUUUCUUUUUGGUACUAAGAGAAUAAAAUUGUGUUUUUAGGUGUGCCAGCGAUACAUGUACGGCUGGGACUGUUAGGAGAAAAUAGUCAUUGGUGAUAGUUUGAAAAAUCAACUUCUCUUUUGAUAGUUGGAAAUUAAUGUAUGCAUGGCUGUUUGAGAGGAUAUAUCCACUACAAUAUAACGAGUGCACUGUCAUUAUCUUUUAGCCACUUUUUAUACAACGCACCAUACUGAAUUUUGAAUUGCAAUUUGUGCUGCUAUGGUCUUUGUUUUCAGUAUGGUGUAGGAGGACAAAUGAGCUUAUUGAUGGCUAGGUUUUCAUGUUCAUUUGGCUCGGUUUUGGAAGCGUUUGGAGUAGACCUCAUCAAGGGGUUUACAGAUUUUCAGGUGGUGGAAAAUGCAAAAAUCUAGGCAGAAACGGAGGCAACCAUGAUACGAUUGGAUAUAAGUGAAUAUAUGGAGUGGCAAAGAAAGUAGUCGGUAAGAUUAAAGUGGAAGAAGAGUAAGACAAGGUGUUCUUGUCCAGAGUAUGAUUAACCUCCUAUAAAUACCCAUCCGUAGUAAGUUCAUAAUAGAACAUAAGCAACAACAACCAUGACCAUAUAAAAAUCUCUCUUGCUUUUCUUCUUUUAAU